rfam:Triticum aestivum genome assembly, contig: Triticum_aestivum_CS42_TGACv1_scaffold_158719_2DL
CAAUUACCCCCUCCGUCCGAAAAUACUUGUUAAAGAAAUGGAUAAAAAUGGACAUGUCUAGAAUUGAAAUACGUCUAUAUACAUCUAUUUCUUCGACAAGUAUUUCCGGACAAAGGGAGUAUAUG